AUGCAUCAGAAACACAUAUGUUUAAACUGGAACUAUGCUGAGAAAAUUAGCAUGGCCCCUUGUGCAGGAAUGACAUACUAAUUCCUGAAGCCUUCCUUAUUUUU